rnacentral:rRNA from 1 species
CGCCAGGGGACUACGAGCGUAAGCUUAAAACCCAAGGAUUUGGCGGCACUUCAAACCCAUCUAGAGGAGCCUGUUCUAAAACCGAUUAUCCCCGUUCAACCUUACCACCCCUUGCCAACCCCGCCUAUAUACCGCCGUCGCCAGCUUACCCCUCAAGUGCCCCCCAGUAAGCAAAAUAGGCACAACCUAAAACGUCAGGUCGAGGUGUAGCGCACGCAGUGGAAAGAAUGGGCUACAUUUCCUAUAAUAGGUACCACGACAGAUACUAUGAAACAAGUAUCCAAAGCCGGAUUUAGCAGUAAGGUAGAAAACAGCGUGUUCUCCUGAAACAGGGCCUGAAGCGCGU